UACUUCAAGCCUAAGCGCGCGGUUCGAAAAUUCGUGUGACGUCACGACUUCUGGUCAUAAUAAACUUCGGAACGCAUGCAGUGGCUCUUUGCUGAUUGCUGAAGCUUCUUACGUUGUGCGAACGCUGAAGCAGAAUACUUUGAUUUUUUUAUGGUUUUAAGGUUGGAUGUAUUUUAGAGAGUUAUUAAAAUGCCGGGUAGAUGCUGUGUACCAUUAUGUAAGGGAAACUACCCAACAGGACCAAAAGUGUCUGUAUUCUCCUUUCCUAAAAAUGAAGAUUUGAAGAGAGAGUGGCUUUCUGCAAUCCAACGGAAAGACUUUUCACCCAAAAAGAGUUCAAAGGUAUUCAUAACGAAGAAAGGAGUGUUUUUUAUCAUGAAAUGGCUCUCAGGUGUAAAAAUGCAUAGGAUAUAUCUUAGUUUAUUGAAGUUAAGAAUUGGUGCUUUGUGGACUAAAAAAUAUGUGCAAUAUCCAUUGUCACACCACUCUGUUCAAGAAUAUCGAUCAGUCCUGAAUGAUAAAGAAAAUGAUUAACAAAGGAAUAUCUAGAACUUGAUUGUGUGCAUGAUUUAAUUCCAAAUAUAAGUAUUGGAAUAAUUCAUCCUCCUUAUUUUCAACAAAAACUCUUCAUUUGGUAAUAUACAUUUGUGCUUAUCAGUGUGGUGUCUUGUGUAACAAAUCGUCAGUAUUAUAAAAUAGAUGGAAAGAUCUUUGAUUAUUGCAAGAGCUUUAUGUGCUGAAGAAGUAAAAAAAUGUCCCAGAUAAUUGUGGAUAUUAUGAAACUGAGUAUCAUAAGAAUGGAAAAAUAUUUCUUAAACAAAUUACCUUGUGAUGCAUGUAAUGGGUAUGUUUAUUUUAUUUCAUAUAACUGUAAAUUUAAUUAUUGAUAAUAAGCAAACUUUUUUUUUUUCCCCUAAAAUGCCAUUGGUGUAUUGUCAUUAUUCUAUAUUGACAUGUAUUCUCUUACAUUUAUCAUUGAAACCAGAGAUUUUAUAAUAGAAUAUGGGAAACUUGUGUUGAAGGCCUGUUGAUUGAAAUACAAGUGACCAUUACAUCUUUGGAAUUUGCAUUCUCAUUGCCAAUUUUGAAAAGACAUUCUUUUACAUUUUCUUAAAAAAGUUAACAUUCUAAUGACUUUAGAAGUAAACAUUGGCGACUUCAUAUGAACCAGUCUCUUGGCGAGUUUAGCAAAAAAUUUGCCGAUGGCUUCCCCAUAACAGAACUGUACUGGAUUCUAUACCUGAAUAUUGCAUUAAAAGGAGAGAAAACCAUUUAUUAUGAAGAUAAUAAAUGAUUCAUAUUACGAAUGUUCAUUUCUUAUAAUGAUCGAGUUUUAUAUUCUUGCAUUGUAUUUCUUUUGUGUCAACACAGAAUAAAUUGUGUCGGAUUUCAGUUAUAAUGAUAUGUGUAAAGAUGCUGUAAUAAAAUUUGUUAUAAAUGUA
rnacentral:misc_RNA from 1 species